GACGUAGGAUGCGAGCGUUAUUCGGAUUUAUUGGGCGUAAAGCGUGCGUAGGCGGCUAUUUAAGUCUGGUGUUAAAGCUAGGGGCUCAACCCCUGUGAUGCACUGGAUACUGGGUAGCUUGAGUGCGGUAGGGGAAGGUGGAAUUCCGAGUGUAGCGGUGAAAUGCGUAGAUAUUCGGAAGAACACCGGUGGCGAAGGCGGCUACCUGGACCGGUUCUGACUCUGAUGCGCGAAAGCGUGGGGAGCAAACAGG
rnacentral:rRNA from 1 species